ACCUCAAGAUGAAUUUCUACCACAACAAAUACCUAUAUUGUUUGAAUGCUCCAAUUUCUAUUUGUAUUUGGAUAGAUUCUGAUAUGAAAAUGGACCCAGACAUAUAUUAUUCUAUCCACUUGGCCUCUACUAGAUAACUGGUCCCAUUCAACUUUGGCUCAUACUCAACCUACUGUGUGCAGAUAGAUUCAGCCCCAUGAGCUACAUGCAC
rnacentral:lncRNA from 1 species